rnacentral:rRNA from 1 species
UACGUAGGGGGCAAGCGUUGACCGGAUUUAUUGGGCGUAAAGAGCGUGUAGGCGGCCUUACAGGUCAGCUGUGAAAACUCGAGGCUCAACCUCGAGACGUCGGUUGAAACCGUAAGGCUAGAGUCCGGAAGAGGAGAGUGGAAUUCCCGGUGUAGCGGUGAAAUGCGCAGAUAUCGGGAAGAACACCCGUGGCGAAGGCGGCUCUCUGGGACGGUACUGACGCUGAGACGCGAAAGCGUGGGGAGCGAACAGG